AAGAAAUCCUCCCACUUCGGCCUUCCAAAGUACUAGGAUUACAGUCACUACCUUACAGCUCUAUUUGGUUGAGGACAUGUGGCAAACCUAUAUCAACAAGGUGUUAGAUUACAAUUCAGGAUUUCUUAUAUAUAAGAUCAAAUCAUCUAUGAAGAGAGUUGUACUUCUUCCUUACACACUAUUAGUGGGACUGCAAACUAGUUCAACCUGUAUGAAAGCAGGAUGGAGAUACCUCAAGGAACUAAGGUAGACCUACCA